rfam:Ancylostoma duodenale strain Zhejiang A_duodenale-1.0_Cont22952.1, whole genome shotgun sequence.
GCUUCAGUGAAGAAAACAAACCCAGCUCUCUGAAUUCCAGGUGAGGAACGAAAACUCUGAGAAGC